CCCUUAGAUGUCCGGGGCUGCACGCGCGCUACACUGUAGAAAGCAGCGUGCUUUAAAACCUUUCCUGAAAAGGAUGGGUAACCCCAGCUAAAUUCUACGUGCUUGGGAUAGAGAUUUGCAAUUUUCUCUCUUGAACGAGGAAUUCCCAGUAAGUGCGAGUCAUCAGCUCGCGUUGAUUACGUCCCUGCCCUUUGUACACACCGCCCGUCGCUACUACCGAUUGGGAAAAUUUUAGAGAGUCCUGGACUGAUGAUUGUUCGGCUUCACGGCCUUACUUUCGUCGGGAAAGAAUUCGAUAAUAUUUUUCUAGAGGAAGUAAAAGUCGUAACA
rnacentral:rRNA from 1 species